rnacentral:rRNA from 1 species
UACGGAGGGUGCGAGCGUUAAUCGGAAUUACUGGGCGUAAAGCGCGCGUAGGCGGCUUUGCAAGUCGGGGGUGAAAUCCCCAGGCUUAACCUGGGAACUGCAUUCGAGACUGCAUUGCUAGAGUAUGGGAGAGGGAGGUGGAAUUUCCGGUGUAGCGGUGAAAUGCGUAGAUAUCGGAAGGAACACCAGUGGCGAAAGCGACUUCCUGGACCAGUACCGACGUUCAGGCACGAAAGCGUGGGGAGCAAACAGG